CGGUAAGUUUGAUAGCAAUAUUGAACCAAGAGUGUCGUAAGGGUGCGUAACGAGUAUGCAAUCUGCCCUCAACAGGAGAAUAGCUCCCCGAAAGGGGAAUUAACACUCCGUAAUAUCGCGAUUCGGCAUCGUGUUGCGAUUAAAACUACGGUGGUUGAGGAUGAGCAUGCUUCUGAUUAGUUAGUUGGCGGGGUAACGGCCCACCAAGGCGAUGAUCAGUAGGGGAACUGAGAGGUUGAUCCCCCACACUGGCACUGAGAUACGGGCCAGACUCCUACGGGAGGCAGCAGUAGGGAAUAUUGGACAAUGGGUGCGAGCCUGAUCCAGCCAUGCCGCGUGCAGGAAGACGGCCUUCUGGGUUGUAAACUGCUUUUGCCUGUGGAUAAAAAGCCCAUGCGUGGGAAAUUGAAGGUAGCAGGUGAAUAAGCCACGGCUAACUACGUGCCAGCAGCCGCGGUAAUACGUAGGUGGCAAGCGUUGUCCGGAUUUAUUGGGUUUAAAGGGUGCGUAGGCGGUCUGAUAAGUCAGUGGUGAAAUACGGCAGCUUAACUGUCGAGGUGCCAUUGAUACUGUUAGACUUGAGUACAGACGAGGUAGGCGGAAUUGACGGUGUAGCGGUG
rnacentral:rRNA from 1 species